GGAAUGGCUGAAGAUUAGCGUGCCACCUCAACCGUCUUUUGCAAAAUAAACCCCAUGCUUUUGAUUAAUUACGCGCCGGUCCUUGCUAUGUCCACCGUCCGAUCUUGAGAUAGGCUCGAUCUGGCCGUCCACGUUCCCCCUUUGGCGGCCCUUCCACACCCGUGGAAUCGUUGGAUCUCUAACGGACGGUGUGGAUUUCGCCAACCCGUCCAAACCCUAGCCGCCCGUCCUCUCCUCCCCCAUGCGCGCCGUCUCGCCCUUCUCCCCCCAUCGCGCCGCAUCCUCGCCCUCCUCCUUCCUCGCGUGCGUCGUCGCCGCCACAACUUCCUCCUCCUCCACUCCCUCAACCAUCUCGCUGUGCCGCCAUCGCUGCCUCCACUCCCUCAACAAGCCAUCUCGCCGUGACACCAUCGCUGCUCCCUCCCCGCCGGAUCUCCCAGUGAGGAGGCUAGGGCCGCCGGGUCCGAUGAUCCCAUUCUCCUUGUCAGCGGAUCCGGCGCCCUAGAGAGGAACGAGAGCCGCCGCCGCCGCCCUUUCUCCUCUUUCAUCCCUGCCACGCCACUGCCUCCCAAGCCCUCUCCGACCAUUUGAUUCAUCGGCCUUGGCCUCCCCCUCCAGUGGAUCCGGUCGCCGGCCGGACGGAGUCAGCAGGCCGCCGCCACACCCUCUUCUCCUCUCCCUCUCCAUGAGCACCUCGCUCAGUGCCAUGAGAAGGGAAGGGAGAGCGUAGGCUCGGCCACGACCGCGACGAAGGCAACCGCGGCUCGGCGACAAUGGUUGCCUGCCUGCCUGGUUGUAUUUUCAUAUUCAGACAGUUUUGGAAGCUGCAAGUACACAUGGCUUACCUCUUGAAUGUACAUCAAAAGAGUUUUUCAUAUGCUGCUGUACUGUGUUCCUCAUUUUCAGUGAUGUAUGCUAUAUGCUCGAAGCACAUUCAUUACAGGUCGCAAAAAGAAAUGGAUAUGGAUUGGGUCCAUCAUGGAAACAGACACAAAUUUCUUUUGAAGGUACAUUUCAAUUUAGUUUGUGCAUCAACUGGUUCAAUGGGAAUGUUUUCCUAGACAUGUCCUAACCAUUACGAUCCAAUGGUAAAGCAAUAUCAUGAGUCAAUCUUUUUAAUAUUCUGUCUUUCAGUUGGUUUGCUUUUACAUGUCUAUGCUCAGAGAGAGAUUAUUUCACUGUUUAGUUCACCGGUCUUUUUUACACAUGUUUUUUUCAUUAAUUGUGAAACCAUACUUUUAAAUCCUAAAAGUUGUGGAGCCGAUCUGUUUCGUCAAACUAUAGUGUAACCUGCUGCUGCUGUGCUCUACAAAGCUCAUUGUUUCCACAUUUUAUAUUAUGCCAGCUACUUACAAAAGGGCCAGAGAAGAAAAAAAUGGGACAUACCUGAAGAAGUAUGCCAUGUAGAACUAUAAGGCUUAUGUUAUUGCAUCCAUACUUUGGUUAAGUGAUCAUGCAUGCUUUCGCUCGUAAACUUUGCCAUGUGGUAGUAGCACUUUGUACUACCUCUGCUUCGAAAAUAGAUAGAACUUCUGGUAGAAAAAUUGGUUUCAUGUGUUUAGAACUGUGAUGCCAGGCUGAAAAUAUUAUCUCUCUAUAUAUAAAUGGUUGAUACUAUACUAUUUUAGCUGUACUAACGUUAUUAAAACUUUCUAUUACCUUUGUCCCAAAAUGUAAUAACUUCUGGCCCUAUAUCUUGAAAGGAAUGUUUAGGUAUACAGCUCAAAAUUGCAAUAUAUUUUAGGACAUAGGUAGUAUACUUUUUUUCAGGUGUACUGAUGUCACUAAUCGCACAUAACGGAGGAUUGUUGUUGACUAGGGCAUCGGCAUGCUACACUUGAGAAAAGGUCAUUUUCUAUCUGUUCAUUUUAGCUUUACAUGCAUUUAAUAGAACCACCAGUUGGCAUGGUCUUCUGUUUGUAGCAUCCAAUAGUCCAGUGUGAUUCUAGCUUAUAGAGAAAAAGGGGUACCAUGAAACCUCUGUAAACUCAUUGUAAUUGACAUGUAAUUUGCCUUUUUUUUUCUAUUUAUUCAAACUUCCUAUACUUUUGAUUUCCUCCUUUAGCCUAGCUAGACACUAUUUUUUUGUGUGUUCCAAUUUUUUUUACAAGGGUCGUUUAUAGGAUAUAGAUGAAAACAUGAACCAAUGUAGGUGAAUAUAGAUACAUAUUAUUCCUUGAACA